UAUUAGACACGAAGAGGGAGAAAAAUACGGUGAAGGGAGCGAAAGAAACGAGUUUGGCAAAGAAAAGAAAAUGAAGAUGGUUCGACGAGAUUGGAAAUCAUUAGACGAGAUCGAAGGUUCAGUUAAUUAGUCUAUCUUAUUCAGGAAUAAGAUAUGAAUGAUGCGUGGGUUGAUGUGAGUUACAGUUAUUAUAAGGGUCGGCGGCUGACGCGUUUUUAGCAACCUUCUCCUCCUCAUCAUUUUUGCAUGUAGAUAAUGUAUAGUAUACAAAGUGGUGAGAGAGUCUCACUACCGUUUAGAAUGUUGUGAAAUAUGUAAUUGAUAAAUGUUGAUUUCAGAAAUUAUAUAAUAUGUGUGCUUUUGAAAA